rnacentral:rRNA from 1 species
ACGGAAGGCAGCAGUGGGGAAUAUUGGUCAAUGGGCGGAAGCCUGAACCAGCCAAGUCGCGUGAAGGAAGAAGGUAUUAUGUAUUGUAAACUUCUUUAGCAGCAGAGAAAUAAGGUGGACGUGUCCACUGAUGCUAGUAUGCUGAGAAUAAGCAUCGGCUAACUCCGUGCCAGCAGCCGCGGUAAUACGGAGGAUGCGAGCGUUAUCCGGAUUUAUCGGGUUUAAAGGGUGCGCAGGCGGUCUUUUAAGUCAGUGGUCAAAUCGUGGUGCUCAACGCCAUCCCGCCAUUGAUACUGGGAGACUUGAUUGCGGUUGAGGUAGGCGGAAUUCGUCGUGUAGCGGUGAAAUGCAUUGAUAUGACGAAGAACACCGAUUGCGUAGGCAGCUUACCAAGCCGUAAAUGACGCUCAUGCACGAAAGUGCGGGGAUCGAACAGGAUUAGAUACCCUGGUA